rnacentral:ncRNA from 1 species
ACAAUUGAGUACGGGGAGCCCGGUGAACCGGGCUGAGAGGAGGACAACCAGUCCUCGACCCUUAUAACCUGAUCCGGAUAAUGCCGGCGGAGGGAAGUCGAGAGCAAAAUGU